GCCUGGGUGGCUCAGUCAGUUAAGCAUCUGACUUCAGCUCAGGUCACGAUCUCACGGUUAGUGAGUUUGAGACCCACCUUGGGCU
rnacentral:tRNA from 1 species